rnacentral:sRNA from 1 species
CACUUCGGUCCGGAGGUGAUGGGUUAACUUUCCAACCAAACACACAAAACACCUUCCCCCAUCAACACCAAUUUGACCGUUGU